CACUUACAAGAGGUUAACGGUGGUCACCGUGAUGCAGUUAGAAGUGAGCUAUGAGACGUCUCCUGUCUCCUGAGAGAGACCGGUAACCACUUACAAGUGGCUCAGAGAGACGAGUCUCCGUCUCUCCGUCUCCGUCCUGUACAAUGAUACCACGCACAGAUACUCGCGAGACUUCGUUGACGGUACGAGAUUUAGGGGCUCGGAAAUUUUCAGGUAUCUGAACCCCGGAUUGUUGCCUCGUUUGACGGCCAGCAGCUGAUCAAGUCGACCGAUUCCAUGGCGAGGUUGGAAUCCACCCUGAAGCCUAUUGAAGACAUACACGAGAUCACAAGAUGGCGGCAGAGUGACCUAGAAUGGACCAAUCCUGUUCGAUCAUGCUCUAUUUUGAACACCUCGGUCAAAAACAGCGCCUGUCGGACAGAACUGUUCGCUUCCACUAUUUAGCUGAUAAUAACGACUGACUUCAGUUUAGCUUUUUUUCACCCUGACCUCCUCACAGACCGGGUUGAAAAAAAAUGUGCUGACUUCUUUGUUGAAGGUCACAUCCACUGAGUACAGUCAUCUGAGGAGGGGGCUGAUAUAGUUGUGGUAAGGGCUUUAAUUUCAAUCAAAGUGGAAGCGGGAGGCCACGUAUAUCAUUACCUUGUUUGUGAGCAGAAGUGUCUGGUUUCUGACAUACAGUCAAUGCACAUGAAAACCAGGGUACACCUAUUUGUUACUGGGUUUCUACUGCGUUUGCUGCAUGCAUAACAGCGGCAUGCUCAUGAUAAAAGCGAAAUCAAGAAGAAAGCAGCUCAGGCACUUGUGGAGAGGGAGCUUGUACUAUGCACCAACUAAUGGGACACUUCUACAAAGUCUGCCAGUGCAGAGUCCCGUGUCUUAUACAUACCCUGCUCUACAUGUGCAUCCUGCCCACCAACAAUGUAAAGCUAAUUGCAGUGGCUCUCCCUCCCACAGUACCUAUACAUGGUGGGUUUAGUCUUCAACAAAGAAUAGCAUAGCAUUUUUCUUUGGCCAUUUCUGUUCAAUGAUGAUGAUUUCUGUUCAACUGGGUAUUCGAAUUAGAAUAGGGGUUGCAUCUUGUUCUAUUUGUUCAAUAUGACGUUCGAUCGGGAUUUGUCCAUGAUGACUCCCUUGCGAAACUGAAUGACCUCGACGUUGAGGAAAGAAAGCAAUACAUUUCAAUAAUACAACGUGUGUCAUGCCAAAGGUAAUUUUAUAUCUAACUAAAGUAAAGGGACGUUAUUACAUUUAUUGGUGUCAAUAAUCCUACAUGUUCUGGAAAUGUUUUGUAACAUCUAGUACUUUGGAAAGGUUUUAGUAGCUUACUAAUAGGAAUGUUUUUUUUUAUGAAGACAGAUGCCAUUUUGAUAUUAGUGUUGUUGAGAUCUUUUAAAGCAUGUAUAUGUCAUAUAUACAUCCUUUGAUUCCUGUGUUUGUAGAUAUUUCCAAAGCAUAGUAAGCAUGCCUGUAUAUUAUAGUCUUACUGUAUUUAUAACUUCCAGUGCAUACCGUAUGCUUGGUAGUGUUGUUUAUGUAUUCAGGUGAGCUUUUAGAAUACAGACAUGAAUGAACUGAUGCAUAUGACUUUGGACAGGUGUUUGAGUAAGUGUACAUGUGAAUUUUCUCCUGGUAGGAAGCAGGAGAUGGUGCUGUUUAUGCAAGUCACACCUGUCUAGAAUGAUCAGACCACUGGCUUUAGUUGUUCACACUGAAGAACCACAUGCUUGUAGAAAAAGAUGAAAUUGUUAGAAAUCUUUGGGCAAAAUGGAUUCGGAUACAGUCGAAUCCGGGCCCAUAUUUUGCCAUAUCCUUGAGGGAUGCGAUCAGAUAAGGGCAGAUGCGAUUGGUUAUGGAUCUAAAAUCUGACAUUCGCCGGGUUCCGUACUUGUUUGGAUAUGGAAAAAAUAUGAAAUACGUAUCUUUUGCAGCUGCGAUAGAGGUCAUAUCCUUGCUGUAAAAUACACUUAAAUGUCUGUAAUUUUCCGUAUCCUAACCAACACGCAAAUCCCCACAUUUGCCUGCGAAUGCGCAGAUACGAAAGGAUUUUCCACCUUCUUAACCGAAUCAGAAAUCUGAAUCACCCUGUAUUUGCAAUGUAUUCGCAGAUACGAAAUUCAGAAUUUUUGGAUCCUAACCAAAUUCAAAAGCAGUAUCCCCCCACAUUUGCAACGUGUAUACAGAUACAAAAUGGGGAUUUUCCUGGAUCUGAACCAAAUGUUAACUGUGAUUUGAAUGCUGUCAGUGUAGAAACAUGUAUAUGAUACAAUGUACCUAAGUGUGUUCAUAUAUAGGAUAAUAUCAGACAUGACUUCUUUCCUUGUUGACUAUGAUUUUAAUGCUGGCAGUGUUAUACUAGAUAAUCAUUUGUACUUAAGUACAUGAUAUUGUUAAAACACAACCUGUACAUAUUGACUGUGGCUAGGUUAAAAAUGAUAUGCUGUCCCAAAUGCAUUUUAUUACUUGUAAGAGCUGUGUGCAAAGUGCUUGUAUUGAGCCCUAUUGUACAUACAUCUUUAAUGAAAGAUGUUAACAGCUGUUGACAAUUCAAUAAAUAAAAUUUCCUGUUAUCCAGU